rnacentral:misc_RNA from 1 species
GCAAACUUGGUCAUUUAGAGGAAGUAAAAGUCGUAACAAGGUUUCCGUAGGUGAACCUGCGGAAGGAUCAUUCACAAACGAGUGUUUUAUGGCACUCUUUAAAAAUCCAUAUCCACCUUGUGUGCAAUGUUUGUUGGGAAAGUCUUUUCUUUCCCUUCACAAAUAUCAACCUAUAUCUUUAACAACAUUCGUCUGAUAACAUAUUAUGAAUAUACUUAAUUCAAAAUAUAACUUUCAACAACGGAUCUCUUGGCUCUCGCAUCGAUGAAGAACGCAGC